rnacentral:rRNA from 1 species
GACGAACGCUAGCGACGUGCCUAAGGUAUGCAAGUCGAGCGGACCCGCAAGGGUUAGCGGCGAACGGUUGAGUAACACGUAGACAACCUGCCUCGAAGUGGGGGACAACAGCGGGAAACUGCUGCUAAUACCGCAUGUGGCGGCCCGGAGCCUUCCGGGUUGGCUAAAGGAUUUAUUCGCUUCGAGAUGGGUCUGCGGCCUAUCAGCUUGUUGGUGGGGUAACGGCCUACCAAGGCGACGACGGGUAGCUGGUCUGAGAGGAUGAUCAGCCAGACGGGGAC